GCCGAAGUGGCGGAAUUGGUAGACGCGCUAGGUUCAGGGUCUAGUGGGCGUACGUCCGUGGGAGUUCGAGUCUCCCCUUCGGCACCA
rnacentral:tRNA from 2 species